CCACGGCACUGCCAUAUUAAUUAAAAAGAAAUAAUCCAGUUCGCCGGGUUUCGUCUUUGCACUCUCGCUAACCUCCAUCAACGGAAUAAAUCCAGUCUCGAUAGCGUAUCUCGAACGCUUCGCUGUGAAAAUGCCGAUACAAAGGGGUGUUAAGGGAUAAUUCUGCAAAACGACGAACAUAAAUCGAGUUUUUAUCUCGCAGUGGUCUUGUAUCGAUAAAUCGUAUCGAGUAAUCUGUACUUUGUGCUGCUAAUAGUUUACGUCUAUGAAAAUGUCUAUUCUAUCAACGAGUCCUAUAGCUUUAUAAUUUUCUCACUUAGUUUAAUUAUAUCUUCAAAAACGUAGUGGAAAAAUAAAUUUUCGAUAUUGAAAAUAUACUAUCAUUUUAAAUACAUAAAGAUAUUAUUCCUCUGUAAAGGGCUACGAGCAAUAGUAUAUGUGGAAACAGUACAAUUUUCCAAUUUGUUACUAGAUUUUGUUACUAGAUUUUGAUUUCUUUUAGUAUUGAGUCAAUUUAAAGAAAACAAGUGGAACCUACCUUCAAUUAUGCAUUAAUUUUAAAGCAAACUACCAUAGUUCAACACCACUAACAAAGAUUUCCAAUAUCAGUGAUCAUACAGCAUGUAGGUUAGAAUGAGAUGUUUGGAGAUUAUGUAUCUCCCCACAGAACGAAAGUAAUCAUACAAAUACGGAAACACGUUAGUAUACAUUUCCAAUUACACCACUCUGUUUAAUGGGACCUUAAGAAUUCGAAAAACAAAAGUGGAGAAAGAAGGGAAAAAGGGGCAGUGCAUACAAUGACACAUUCCAAUCACGCGUAAUGACUGGCCGCUCCUUUGUUACACGCAUUCUUCUCGCGAAUGACAGUUAUGCAGAAUACAAAAAGUCACGCGCAUGCGCAUCCCACAGUUUUUUGAGACACUCGCUUUGAUUGCUUGGAUGUGGCACGUUUCAAACACACGUAGAAAUAUAUAUGACCAUACGAAACUAACCUAUAAACAUAUCUAAGCAAACGACUAUUGAACGUACUAUUAAAUACUUUAUACAUAUUUUACUAUGUACUUUAUAUCUUUACGUGCGUAACUGAAGAAAUGGAAUUUAAACAGAAAUUUGUUUCAUCUACGAGAUAUUACGUGGCCAGUAUCGCCGAUAUCGGAAACCAGUUCCGUCAAAGCAAUCGAUCUAUUCUGCGCUAGAACUGGGAAACACCGGGGGAAGUGGAAGUAGAAAAGGAGAGAGAAAGAGCGAGUGAGUUCAAUUUGCAAAAUUACGAGGUACCAUGGAAAAAAUUGGCGGUCGCGUAACAACGCGCUUGCGUGAACUAUGGAACGAACGGUGACCUAUAGUCGAUCCAUUGCGUACAAUAUCUUGCUUCGUAAAAAUUAAUCUAGCAUAUAUUAUUUUAUUAUGCAAUUGUACUUGUACUUGUAAUUUACAAAAAAUAAAUACACUUCUUUCGACUAUGAAAGUAUGAAAAAUUA